CUACGGGCUGCUGCAGUGGGGAAUCUUGCACAAUGGAGGAAACUCUGAUGCAGCGAUGCCGCGUGAGUGAAGAAGGCCCUUGGGUUGUAAAGCUCUUUUGUCGGGAAAGAUAAUGACUGUACCCGAAGAAUAAGGUCCGGCUAACUUCGUGCCAGCAGCCGCGGUAAUACGAAGGGACCUAGCGUAAUUCGGAAUUACUGGGCGUAAAGCGCGCGUAGGCGGUUAAGUAAGUUAAUUGUGAAAGCCCAAAGCUCAACUUUGGAAUUGCAAUUAAAACUACUUAGCUAGAGUUUAUCAGAGGAAAGCGGAAUACAUAGUGUAGAGGUGAAAUUCGUAGAUAUUAUGUAGAACACCAGUUGCGAAGGCGGCUUUCUGGGAUAACACUGACGCUGAGGUGCGAAAGUAUGGGUAGCGAAGAGGAUUAGAUACCCGCGUAGUC
rnacentral:rRNA from 1 species